rnacentral:rRNA from 1 species
UACGGGGGGGGCAAGCGUUGUUCGGAAUUACUGGGCGUAAAGGGCUCGUAGGCGGCCAACUAAGUCCGACGUGAAAUCCCCAGGCUUAACCUGGGAACUGCGUCGGAUACUGGAUGGCUUGAAUCCGGGAGAGGGAUGCGGAAUUCCAGGUGUAGCGGUGAAAUGCGCAGAUAUCAGGAAGAACACCCGUGGCGAAGGCGGCUCUCUGGAACGCAACUGACGCUGAGACGCGAAAGCGUGGGGAGCAAACAGG